rnacentral:lncRNA from 10 species
UGGAAGCUGGGCUUCGGAAGCGUGCAGCUGUUGUUCCACACCAGAACCAAAUGAGCGCAAGAUCUGACAAAAAAAAAAGUCCCUGUAUCCUGAGAUGGAGUCACCUGAGAAUCCACAGCAAGUCCUAACCAGGGAUGGGUCUGGGUGAUUAAGGAAGAUUGGCUUCAGAACUGGGCCAGGGGCACUGCUUUGCUUUUGCUGUUUUGAUCAGCUCUCUGCCUGCAGGAGACGAGGAAAACCAAUGGGAACAGAUAGGGUCUCUCUCUCUGCCACUCAGGCCAGAGUGCAGUUGACGCAGAGCAGGGGAGCCCUGAAAUGGAGCAUAGUGUGUCCGGAACUGGUGGGUUCUUGGUCUCACUGACUUCAAGAAUGAAGCUGCGGACCCUCGGGAUGAGUGUCACAGUUCUUAAAGGUGGCUUGUCUGGAGUUUGUUCCUUCUGAUGCUCUGAUGUGUUCAGAGUUUCUUCUUUCUGGUGGGUUUGUGGUCUCACUGGCUUCAGGAGUGAAGCUGCAGACCUUCAAGGUGAGUGUUACAGCUCUUAAGGCGGUGCGUCUGGAGUUGUUUGUUCCUCCCGGUGGGUUCAUAGUCUCGCUGGCUUCAGGAGUG